UCAAAGGAUAAGUUGCUGUCGAACAUCACACCUAAGUUCCUAACCGUGGAAGAUGGCACCACAGUACAGCCAUCUAUGUGCAAUUUGUAAUCUGACAUAUUAUGUUUGUAGCGAUUUGGUUCAAUAAUAAGUAUCUCUGUCUUAUUGGAGUUGAGCUUAAAGGUGCCCUUCCACACAAAACCGUUUUUACUUGUAUUUUUUGAUAUGUGUUAGGUCUAUAUGUGUCUGUGUUGUGUCGGGAAUGUGAAAAUGAACUUCUACCUCUUAUGUCAGCUUUAGCCACUGAAAAGAAAUAAGGGGAGAAAUUAGGUCAGUUGAAAAAGCUGAUCAGUGUGACGUGGAACUGAUCGAGCUCAUUAUUAUUCAUGAGCUCUCCCACUUGAGACCGCGCCCACAGAUUUCGUUCAGCUCUGUGAGUUUUCUAUACCGCAAGGAUGGCUGAACGUCAACGUGCUUGUGCCCUAUGCAGGAAUAGAGGUUCAACUAUGCACAUGUUGCCCAAGAACCCAGAAUUAAGAAUGAAAUGGCUUCAGUUCAUUUUUGGAACAAUGCCAAACCAUGAUCAUUCCAAUGUAUUUAUAUGUUCAUCACAUUUUGAAGAGAGUGACUUCAUAAACUUCGGGGAGUACAGCAAAGGCUUCACGACACGGUUGCGGUUGAAGCCUGGAGCAGUACCAUCGCGGCAGUCUACGGCCAGUGUCCAGCCUAGCACAUCGGGGACAUCUUUCAGCCAUGCAUUUUCACAAACAGACUCACCUAAUCUGUCAUCUCGGGGGACUCAGCUAUCAAUGGGUACUCUACGACAUCAUGUCAAAAGCAGAGGAACACAAACUACUGGCUGUUCUGAAAGUGUGAACAUUGGCACAACUACAGCAGAUGCACCUUGGGGACCUCUGACCUCCACGCCAAUCAAGGUAGCACA